rnacentral:rRNA from 1 species
UACGUAGGGUGCGAGCGUUGUCCGGAAUUAUUGGGCGUAAAGAGCUUGUAGGCGGUUUGUCGCGUCUGCUGUGAAAUUUCGGGGCUCAACCCCGAACUUGCAGUGGGUACGGGCAGACUAGAGUGUGGUAGGGGAGACUGGAAUUCCUGGUGUAGCGGUGAAAUGCGCAGAUAUCAGGAGGAACACCGGUGGCGAAGGCGGGUCUCGUGGGCCGAUACUGACGCUGGAGGAGCGAAAGCGUGGGGAGCGAACAGG